AUUGAACGCUGGCGGCAUGCCUUACACAUGCAAGUCGAACGGCAGCACGGGGCAACCUGGUGGCGAGUGGCGAACGGGUGAGUAAUGCAUCGGAACGUACCUUUCAGUGGGGGAUAACGUAGCGAAAGUUACGCUAAUACCGCAUAUUCUGUGAGCAGGAAAGCAGGGGAUCGCAAGACCUUGCGCUGAUUGAGCGGCCGAUGUCAGAUUAGCUAGUUGGUGAGGUAAAGGCUCACCAAGGCGACGAUCUGUAGCGGGUCUGAGAGGAUGAUCCGCCACACUGGAACGGGGAAACGGUCCAGACUCCUACGGGAGGCAGCAGUGGGGAAUUUUGGACAAUGGGGGCAACCCUGAUCCAGCCAUGCCGCGUGAGUGAAGAAGGCCUUCGGGUUGUAAAGCUCUUUCGGCCGGGAAGAAAUCGCACGGGCUAAUACCCUGUGUGGAUGACGGUACCGGAAUAAGAAGCACCGGCUAACUACGUGCCAGCCGCCGCCGUAAUAC
rnacentral:rRNA from 1 species